rnacentral:rRNA from 1 species
CCCUGACCGGAAGGACAGGUGGACAGGCAGGAAGAGAGAAUGCCGGUAUGAGUAGCGAAAAGAAGGGUGAGAAUCCCUUCCACCGAAAGCCUAAGGGUUCCUGGGCAACGAUCGUCGUCCCAGGGUAAGUCGGGACCUAAUCCGAGGCGGAGACGCGUAGGAGAUGGACAACAGGUUGAAAUUCCUGUACUGGCUGAGGCCGUUUGAGCGAAGGAGUGACACAGGAAGGAAGGCGCGCGUGCGAAUGGAAGAGCACGUCCAAGCAGGUAGGUCGGGAGACAGGCAAAUCCGUUUCCCGUAAGGCCGAGAUGCGAUGGGGAGCUUCUGGAGACAGAAGCGAAGGGGCUGGCACUAAACUGUCGAGAAAAGCUUCUAGUGAGGACUCAGGCACCCGUACCGAAACCGACACAGGUAGGCAGGAUGAGAAUUCCAAGGUGCGCGGGAAAACCCUCGUUAAGGAACUCGGCAAAAUAUAUCCGUAACUUCGGGAAAAGGAUAACCCAGCGUACGUGAAGUGCAGAAGCGCAUGGAGCGGAGAUGGGUGGCAGAAGAGAGGCCCAAGCGACUGUUUACCACAAACACAGGCGUCUGCUAAAGCGAAAGCUGAUGUAUAGAUGCUGACACCUGCCCGGUGCUGGAAGGUUAAGAGGAAGUGUUAGCGCAAGCGAAGCAGUGAAUUGAAGCCCCAGUAAACGGCGGCCGUAACAAUAACGGUCCUAAGGUAGCGAAAUUCCUUGUCGGGUAAGUUCCGACCCGCACGAAAGGUGUAACGAUUUGGGCACUGUCUCAACGAGGGACCCGGUGAAAUUGAAGUACCUGUGAAGAUGCAGGUUACCCGCGACUGGACAGAAAGACCCCAUGGAGCUUUACUGUAACCUGAGAUUGGAUUCCGGUAAGAGAUGUACAGGAUAGUUGGGAGGCUGAGAAGUGAGUACGCCAGUAUUCACGGAGCCGCUGGUGGGAUACCAACCUUGUUUUAUUGGAAUUCUAACGAGAAGCGUAACGAGCUUGCGGACAGUCUCAGGCGGGCAGUUUGACUGGGGCGGUCGCCUCCGAAAGAGUAACGGAGGCGCCCAAAGGUUCCCUCAGCGCGGACGGAAACCGCGCGAAGAGUGCAAAGGCAGAAGGGAGCUUGACUGCGAGACGGACAGGUCGAGCAGGGACGAAAGUCGGGCUUAGUGAUCCGGUGGUAGAGAGUGGAAUUGCCAUCGCUCAACGGAUAAAAGCUACCCUGGGGAUAACAGGCUUAUCUCUCCCAAGAGUCCAUAUCGACGGGGAGGUUUGGCACCUCGAUGUCGGCUCAUCACAUCCUGGGGCUGAAGUAGGUCCCAAGGGUUGGGCUGUUCGCCCAUUAAAGUGGUACGCGAGCUGGGUUCAGAACGUCGUGAGACAGUUCGGUCCCUAUCCAUCGCGGGCGUAAGAAACUUGAAAGGGGCUGCUCCUAGUACGAGAGGACCGGAGUGGACCGACCAAUGGUGUACCAGUCAUGGCGCCAGCCGUGCAGCUGGGUAGCUACGUCGGGGACGGAUAAACGCUGAAAGCAUCUAAGCGUGAAACCAGCCUAGAGAUGAGGUUUCUCAUUGUUUUAACAAGUAAGGUCCCACAAAGACGAUGUGGUUGAUAGGCCGGGAGUGGAAGUACAGCGAUGUACGGAGCGGACCGGUACUAAUAGACCGAGGACUUGACU